rnacentral:rRNA from 1 species
CCUUCCGUAGGUGAACCUGCGGAAGGAUCAUUACCGAGUGAGGGCCCUCUGGGUCCAACCUCCCACCCGUGUCUAUCGUACCUUGUUGCUUCGGCGGGCCCGCCGUUUCGACGGCCGCCGGGGAGGCCUUGCGCCCCCGGGCCCGCGCCCGCCGAAGACCCCAACAUGAACGCUGUUCUGAAAGUAUGCAGUCUGAGUUGAUUAUCGUAAUCAGUUAAAACUUUCAACAACGGAUCUCUUGGUUCCGGCAUCGAUGAAGAACGCAGCGAAAUGCGAUAAGUAAUGUGAAUUGCAGAAUUCAGUGAAUCAUCGAGUCUUUGAACGCACAUUGCGCCCCCUGGUAUUCCGGGGGGCAUGCCUGUCCGAGCGUCAUUGCUGCCCUCAAGCACGGCUUGUGUGUUGGGCCCCCGUCCCCCUCUCCCGGGGGACGGGCCCGAAAGGCAGCGGCGGCACCGCGUCCGGUCCUCGAGCGUAUGGGGCUUUGUCACCUGCUCUGUAGGCCCGGCCGGCGCCAGCCGACACCCAACUUUAUUUUUCUAAGGUUGACCUCGGAUCAGGUAGGGAUACCCGCUGAACUUAAGCAUAUCAAUAGCGGAGGAA